UUAAACUACAACAGUUUACAAUAUAUGAAAACCAUAAUUGUUGCAAACUUAAGCUUUUUUCAUAUAACAUGAUGAAUCUCAUUUAAAAAUGAAACCCAUAACACACUUGUAGGUCCGACCCUCAAAGGAAGCCGAAGAAGCAAUGGCUUCCGACCUUUAUAAAUAUUAGGUUCGGUCAUCAAUGUACAAAGGUAUCAGUUAGCUUAGUGGUAUAAAUGUUGGUGUUUAUAUCUCAAUAACCCGGGUUCGAGACAUGAGAUUUUUUUUUUGGUUCUUGCACUAAACCGGAACAAAGUUGUAUCUAACAAAAAAAAUUAAUGACACAUUUUUCUCUCAUCCUUUUUCUCUCUCGUUUAAAAAUUAAAGAAAAGUUCAGCUCCGGCGGCGAAUGAACAUGCAUACCGGGACUGGAGGCGACUUCUCGUCUCCUACUCCGCACGUUUGUCGUUUGCUUCUCCAUGGUUUCUUGUUCCUCACUGUCUUCUUCCGAUUCUGUCUCGAAAAGAGUCUCUGGUUUAGAUCUUGCUUACAUAGAGAUUCGAUGCCGAGAAGCUCUCCGAUCGUGGUUGGGGUCUUGCCACAGAGAGGAGUGGUUGCUAUCGGCGUGCGUUGCCUUUUUAGGGUUUCACAAGGAGGUUUUCCUUUUCGCUCCUUGCAGAGUCGACGGUUGAUGCGAUGGUUAAGCUCUGUUUCUAAAUUGUGGUGGUGGAUUUACAGAUCUGCUUUCUUUGGUUGUGAAUGGAGUGAUGUCGGUGCUGGUUUAUCCAUGGUGUCGUGGAGAGUUUCGAUCAGUGUGUUGACGGCUGAGGGCUUUCGAGGGUCCUUUGCUCGAAGACUUGCUUAGUCAAUGGAACAAGUGUGUGUCGGGUCCGGUGGUGGUGUCUUGUGGAAGCCUGUCGUGUCACGACUCACAGCUCGAAGACUUGCUUAGUCAAUGGAACAAGCGUGUGUCGGGUCCGCUGGUGGUAUCUUGUGGAAGCCUGUCAUGUCACGACUCACAUUCGUCAUCCAUGGCUUCUUCAGUGUGGUGCGUGCGAUUUCCUCUUCAUCUGAUUUUCCUCUUCCCGAUACUUGUGACUGGUUCAUCAUUGAAGCGUUGUCGGCGGGUGUCCCUAGUCCUUCAACUUGUGCGAUUUAUUAGAUAGUGACAUCAGUCGGAGAGGACCAUAUAUCAGUGCCGUAAGCCUGCGUUUGUUAGCUCAUGGUGAUGUUCCUUUCUAACACCAUUUUUAAGGUCGUAGAGCUUUUUCGGGGAUAAGUGCAGCCGUCAAUUCGUUCCCAAAUUUUUUUCAUUCCAUAAUUGCUGGAGGUUAUCAUCCGACUUCCAUUAGUGCGGGUUAGGCGAUGAAGGCGGGAUUGUACAGUCAAAUGUUUUCACAAUCUUCGGGUUUACGUCUUUCCAUGUCUCUUUUUUAUUUCGUCUGUGUUUCAAUGUUAGUAAUGGCUACAAGCUUAGCUAACUCUAGGAGACAACACGGGAAGUUCCUGCAUAUGAGUCAACGAGGUCAAUCUCACUUUCUUGUGAUCAUCGUCGAAAGUGUAGAACGGCAAUCGGAUAUUAGAUCCAAACUACUGGAACAAAGUGAUGGAUUGAGCGAAGAUAGUUUUAGAAAAUAAUUUAAAUUGGUUGAUUUUGUGUAAUUUGAUUUGUAAUCGACUCUUUAUUCCUCAAUUCUUUUGGUUGUUGGUGUUUAACAAAAA